rnacentral:rRNA from 1 species
UACGUAGGAUGCAAGCGUUGUCCGGAAUUAUUGGGCGUAAAGAGCGCGCAGGCGGUAACUCAAGUCAGAUGUGAAAUAUCCGGGCUUAACCCGGAGGGGUCAUUUGAAACUGAGUAACUAGAGUACAGCAGAGGAUAGCGGAAUUCCCGGUGUAGUGGUGAAAUGCGUAGAUAUCGGGAGGAACACCAGUGGCGAAGGCGGCUAUCUGGGCUGAAACUGACGCUGAGGCGCGAAAGCUAGGGGAGCAAACGGG